rnacentral:rRNA from 1 species
GAAAGUAAUUAAGGGCAAACGGCGGAUGCCUUGGCUUGCAGAGGCGAUGAAGGACGUGAUAAGCUGCGAUAAGCUACGGGAAGGUGCACAUAACCUUUGAUCCGUAGAUUUCCGAAUGGGGCAACCCGGCUGGUUGAAGACCAGUCACCGAAAGGAGCAAACCCGGAGAACUGAAACAUCUAAGUACCCGGAGGAAGAGAAAAUAAUUAAUGAUUCCGAUAGUAGCGGCGAGCGAAAUCGGAACAGCCCAAACCAGAAUUGUUUCGGCAAUUCUGGGGUUGUAGGACCACGAUGUGAGAUGUUCCAUAAAGUAGAAUCAACUGGAAAGUUGAACCAUAGAGGGUGAUAGUCCCGUAUACGUACAUGCGAAUUAUUUCUAGUGGUAUCCUGAGUAGGGCGGGACAUGUGAAAUCCUGUCUGAAUCUGUCAGAACCAUCUGAUAAGGCUAAAUACUCCUGCAAGACCGAUAGCGAACUAGUACCGUGAGGGAAAGGUGAAAAGUACCCUGAAUAAGGGAGUGAAAUAGAACCUGAAACCGUUUGCCUACAAGCGGUCGGAGCAUCUUUAAGGUGUGACGGCGUGCCUUUUGUAUAAUGAUCCUACGAGUUACUCGUCACUAGCAAGGUUAAGGACUUCAGGUCCGCAGCCGAAGCGAAAGCAAGUUUGAAUAGAGCGUAUAGUUAGUGGCGGUAGACGCGAAACCGAGUGAUCUACCCAUGGGCAGGUUGAAGCUCUGGUAACACAGAGUGGAGGACCGAACCGGUUGACGUUGAAAAGUCUUCGGAUGACCUGUGGGUAGGGGUGAAAGGCCAAUCAAACUCGGAAAUAGCUCGUUCUCCCCGAAAUGCUUUUAGGAGCAGCGUCGUGUGAAAGAGUAGUAGAGGUAGAGCUACUGGUUGGAUGCGGGGGCUUCAUCGCCUACCAAAUCCUGUCAAACUCCGAAUGCUACUACUUGUUUCACGGCAGUGAGGGCAUGGGUGCUAAGGUCCAUGUCCGAGAGGGAAAGAACCCAGAUCAUCUGCUAAGGUCCCCAAAUGUAUACUAAGUUGAUCAAACGUGGUCAGACUGCUUAGACAGCUAGGAUGUUGGCUUGGAAGCAGCCAUUCAUUUAAAGAGUGCGUAACAGCUCACUAGUCGAGCGGUCAGGCGUGGAUAAUAAUCGGGCAUAAGUAUACUACCGAAGCAAUGGACAUGAAAAUGUGGUAGGGGAGCAUUCUAGUUGCGCCGAAGGUGAAAUGUAAGUUUUGCUGGAGCGGCUAGAAAAGAAAAUGUAGGAAUGAGUAACGAUAAUGCGGGUGAGAAACCCGCACGCCGAAAAUCUAAGGUUUCCUCAGCUAUGCUAAUCAGCUGAGGGUUAGUCGCGACCUAAGGCGAACCCGAACGGGGUAGUCGAUGGACAACAGGUUAAUAUUCCUGUACUGGUUUAUACUGCGAUGGGGUGACGAUGUACUGAAAGCACCGCGGACUGACGGAAUAGUCCGUUGAAAACUGUAUCUAUAGGACCUGUAGGCAAAUCCGCAGGACCUGGAGAAGGUUGAUAGUACCAAGAGUCUUCGGACAAUUGGAUAGUGUGCCUAAAAACAUCCAAGAAAAACCUCUAAGCUUCAGGUAUAAACAACGCGUACCGUAAACCGACACAGGUAGAUGGGAUGAGAAUUCUAAGGCGCUCGAGUGAUUCAUGGCUAAGGAACUAGGCAAAAUCGUCUUGUAACUUCGGGAGAAAAGACGCCUGCUUCGGCAGGCCGCAGUGAAAAGGCCCAGGCGACUGUUUAUCAAAAACACAGGACUCUGCUAAAUCGAAAGAUGAUGUAUAGGGUCUGACACCUGCCCGGUGCUGGAAGGUUAAGUGGAGUUGUUAGCUUCGGCGAAGCAGUGAAAUGAAGCCCCAGUAAACGGCGGCCGUAACUAUAACGGUCCUAAGGUAGCGAAAUUCCUUGUCGGGUA